AUUCUCUCUUCUUAGAAAUCCCAACCUCUUUCUCUCACCAUUAUACUUCAUUUUUCUUCCAAAUUUCUUCUUUCAAAUCUCUUCUUUCAACAUUUCAUCAUUUCAAUUUAACAUCAGGUCUAUUAUUCAAGAAAAACAAGGUUUCGAGAAAUUAGAUCCCUUUGAUCUAAAUUGUUUCAUUAGCGUGUUGUUGAGAAGCUACAUGGGUUACUUACACCGUAACGACAUUGUUUUUUGUUUUGUUUGUGUUUCCUGGUUUUUUAUUAUCUAAGAAGUUAGAUCUAUAGUUUGAUUAUGUAAAUCUAAUUUUUUGCUCUUAUUUUGCAGUAAGUAUGUCUGAGGUUUGAAACUGGAAAAUAAUGGAUCUACUUAUUUGAUGUUAUUUUUAUAAACUUUUAUGGAUUGCUUAUUUGAUGCUCUCAUUUAUGCUUUUUGAUGUUUAUUCAUUUUAUGCUUUUUUAUUUUUGAAGGUACCGUCUAAAGCAACAUCGAUCUAACUGGACAGUAUAGAGAUGAUGAGAUAUGGAAGAUAGAUCUGGAGAUAAGCAGAAGGAAAGAUCUUAUUUCUAUUGUUUUAAGAAAAUAUUUUAUUAUUACAUUUAAAAGUGAGAUAUUUGAUUUAUAAUAUUUGUUUUCUAUAUUUGAAUCUGAUUAAACCUCAUAAAUGGACCAGAUUAUUGAAUUUAUAAUAUUAAGUUUUAAAUAGAUGAUAAAAUUUGAAUUUAUGUUUGCAUAUUUUUUCUCCAUUUUAUCUCAAUUUGAAACUAAUAGUAGUAUCAUAUCAAACAUGAAAAGUUUGAAAAUAAUGAAUGUAAUUAAAUUAAAUUAAAUACUUUAAUAUUGUGUGGUUUCAAUAAACUAGAUAAUAGAGCUAUAAAAAAAAAUAGGGAAUGAAUUGGACUGUGUCCCAAGCAAUUUUUAUUGAUUUGACAUCUUUGUAACUUUAUAUUUAAAAGAUGAAUAAAUAGUAAAAAUAUA